rnacentral:rRNA from 1 species
CAACAACAGACUCGGUGAAAUUGUAAUUCCGGUGAAGAUGCCGGAUACCUGCGACAGGACGGAAAGACCCCAUGGAGCUUUACUGUAGCUUGACAUUGGGUCUUGGUACUACAUGUACAGGAUAGGUGGGAGGCUUUGAAACCAGGACGCCAGUUUUGGCGGAGCCAUCCUUGGGAUACCACCCUUGUAGUACUGGGACUCUAACCAUAGGCCAUGAAUCUGGUCUUGGGACACU